rnacentral:lncRNA from 1 species
UGAAAAGAACUAUGAAUAAAAUGGACACAAAAUGACUGAAUUUUUUUCUAUUGAAUAAAGGAUAAGAGAGUCCGAUAAUACAAAAGAACAAGAAAAAAAUGACAAAAUAAGCUACCAUGGCUAAAAAAUGAGUGGCUUUCCAGUUACUAAGCAACAUCUCAACCACUCAUUCGCACAUCAGCAUUACUACGACAUCUAACCAUUUUGAUUGCUUUAGAUUCAACACUCAAACUUUGACGAUCAUCCCGAGAAACCCAUGUCCUAUUGCUCAAAUCUGGUAAAGUCAACCCCAAAUUUACCUCCAUUUUUAAUUUUCCACCGCCAACUUGCCUAUUUGCCUUUUCGUAAUCCUGGAUCAACAUCAAUGGUGCUUAUUCCCUUAGUUGAGAAGAUGAUUUUAUUUUCGAGAGAUCUUGGAUUGUUCUUGUGACUCGCCACUGCAAACCAACAAAUCGACCACCUUUGACUAGCUUGUAUUUCAAAACAACAACUAUGUUAGAACAAACACUCUUUUUUUUUCUUUUGUCAAUUUUUUUCUUCUUUUUUUGGGAUUUUCUUUCUAUUUUUUUCCUUUUUUUUUAUUUUUGGGUUUAACCAUUCGAUCGAACCUGACAUGGAUUACCUACGUAUCAUGUGGGAACAUGAAUCAGAUCUUGCGUAGUUCGAAAAGAUUAGGAAUAAAGUAAAUAAACUAACUGUUUUUUUUAGAUUUUAGACUUUUCUCGAAAGAAAGACUUAAAAAGAAGAAAUAAAAUGUUUUUGGAUUUUGAUUUUUUUUAAUUUUUGAAAAGAAAUACUUUUAAUGAAUAAAGGAAAUAUUUUUUUUUUGGAAUUUUAUUUCGAAUUUAUUAAAGAAAUGCUUCUAAAGAAAAAGAAAAUAUUUCUGAAUCUUGAAUUUUCUUUUUAAUUUUUGAAAGAAGAAUGAAAAUAUUUUUGAAUUUUGAGAGAGAUUAAAAGAAAAUAUUUUUGUAUUUUUAUUUAAAAUUAUGGUAUAAAAUAAAGAAUUUCUAAAGUAGGAGCUAAAGGAAAAUAAUUUUUGAAUUUGUUUUUGAAAAUUGUGGGCCAGAACCGAUGAGGUUUGCCUAUGUAUCUGACAUUCAGUGAGAAUCAGAACCGUGAAGUUCACCUAGUUUUGGUAUAAUUGGAAAAAUAUGAAAUUGACUCACUUUUAAUUUUUUUUCGACAUACAUUUUCCUUUAUUUUUAAAAAAAUAUUUUGGCACAGUUUCAAGACAUUUUUAAUACCAGGGUUUGUAGAACCGGGUGAAUCCUCUAUUCUACCUCACUCUUGGUAUUUUGUUAUUUUUCUUUCCUUUGCCGGUCAACAUACAAGCUGAAGCAAAUAAAUGUACAAACCGCAGGCAAGAUGCAUCAGGACAGUCUUUCAUUUUGAGUACACUUGUUCUAGACGGACUCUACCCCUGUGUUGAGUUCCCGAAUUCAAAUGUACGUAUGCAAACAAACGUUUCAAUUAGGGAUCCAGAAUGAGGUCAUGUUGUUCUAGGUUUAAACCUGGGGUUGUGUUCUAGACUUUGGUGACCCGAGUAGACAACUGGCGCCGAAGAGGAGGGGCAAAGUACCGGGAGCACUAAAGUCUACCCGACCUUGUUGCUGACCCAGCUUCGUACUAUUUGGUAUGAUUUCUACAAAAAAAAAAGUGAGUCACUCGAACAUGUGCACCAUUUUUAAAAGAUUCAGAGGGGCAGCAUAAGAAGACAGUUAUAUACAAUUCACAUAAUAUUAAAACGGUAACAAAUAGAAUUUAGCACAAACUGUUCACAGAAUACAGUAACAAUAAAUGAAGCCAAGUAUAAAUCAUAUUAUCAAGAUCGGAUUCUGAACCCUGAACUAGAGAUUUUGGUUUCGUUCCCCUGCAGAGUCGCUAGAGCAGUCACACCUCUUUUUUACACACCCGUAAGGGAGUAUAAGAGAGUUUUUUUCAAUUUAAGUGACAAUCGAAAUAAGAUGAUUUAUUUAAAAUUUAGAGUCGUCACUUGGGAUAAUAUAGUGUCCCAAGUUACCGGUUAAAAUCUCAAACCGAGGAAGUUUGACUCUAUUCACGGUCUGCGAACACAAAAAUCCGGAUAAGGAAUUCUAUUAAUCCGGGAGAAGGUGUUAGGAAUUUUUGAGUUCCAUGAUUAGCAUAUUCAUUUUGAUCCUACUUGGCUUAAUCAAGUUAUCUAAUUACUGAUUUUAGAACCUAUGUGCGCUUACCUUUUAUCGUUUUUAAAAUUAAGAAAAUUAUCUUGAAACGAGUCACGCCUACAUGUACCAAUUUAUUUGGUGCGUCAAAAAUCAUAUUACGCGAAUGUAUCCACAAUUAAUAACACUGUAUUAUUAUUAAGAAAAUUUGAAUGAUGUUGCGCGAACGCAUACUCCAGUUUUAUUUUUAGAAAUCGUAAUCAUGUCAUGCGAGCAUGUACACAACCAUAAUGAUUAAUUAAAAUUAUACCUACCAACUUGAGAUUAUUGUGAGACCAUGAAUUUAUGAAAUAAGUGUGGGAAAAAAAAAGGCCAGCAACAUAUUCACUACUUUGAGCCUUAGCGAAAUUAAAAUUGGCCACCGAUAAAUAUGUUGAAGGCCUUUAAUCCAAAUAAAGUGUUACACCUAAUAUGUCCCAACCAAUUUUCAUUAAAUUACUAAAAAUUGUACUUUAAAUUAAAGAACUAGUACUUGAAGCUAGACCAAGAUCAUAGGCGUGAAUAGAUGGAUAUCGAUAGAGCAAAAAUGAUCUCAAAAAUGAAGAUUAAAUGAAAUCAAAGCGUGAUGAAAAUAGACAGCCAUUAAUUCAUUGUAGAAACUUGUUAUAAAUUAAUUUCACAUGCUAUUUUCCCCAUAAAACAAAUUUACCACAAAGAAAAUAACUCAUAUAUACCGUAACAAGAAAAGUAACAAAUUCAUACAAAUUUAUCGAUGAUAUUAACAUUAUGUACUACCAAAAGGGACAAUAGACCAAUUUUAAAAUAUACUCAACAGGAGAACAAAUCAAUCUUAACACACUUAGAUGCAAAUUUGAUAAUUAAAUCAACACACAAUGACCCAGAACAAUAAUGAAAAAACAAAAUAGAAAGAGAAACGAACCUUUGUAUUGACGAGUGUGAAUUUAAAUUACAACAACUUAACAGUUCGGACAACUUCCAAUUGGACACUUCGAGUGCGAAAACCUCAGACUACAACCUCGACGAUGAUUCAAACCAGCUUCAAAUCUCAUCUUACAGCUUAAUUUUGUUGUGACUUUUCCUCUUGAAAUCGGAUUAAAAACUGAAAGUCACACGAAUUUCAAAAAAAGAAAAAAAACUACCUAGUCUUGAUCCUUCUUUUUCAUCACCAUAUGAAUGAGAAAGAAAAGAAACAUGUUACUGCAUAUCUUUAUAUAUGGUCAUGGCUUAACUUAGAUAUGACUUCAAAAUGUGAAAGGAAAAGAAAUUAAAAGAGAGCGGCCGGCCAAGAAAGCAAUUUGUUUUUUUGGUUAUAAACCAGAUGUGGUGUUGUGGUAUCUUUCUCUUUUAGAGAUGGCCGUUCUUAGCUGGUGUUGGAGAUCGGAUUGAAGGGGAAAAAAUGGGAUCUUUUUUGGAGUGGGUUGCCGCUU